UACGUAGGGCGCAAGCGUUGUCCGGAAUUAUUGGGCGUAAAGAGCUCGUAGGCGGUCCGUCACGUCGGAUGUGAAAUUCCAGGGCUCAACCCUGGACCUGCAUUCGAUACGGGCGGACUAGAGUUCGGUAGGGGAGACUGGAAUUCCUGGUGUAGCGGUGAAAUGCGCAGAUAUCAGGAGGAACACCGGUGGCGAAGGCGGGUCUCUGGGCCGAUACUGACGCUGAGGAGCGAAAGCGUGGGGAGCGAACAGG
rnacentral:rRNA from 1 species